GGGGCUCGAACUCACGGACCACGAGAUCGUGACCUGAGCUGAAGUCAGACGCUUAACCGACUGAGCCACCCAGGUGCCCCAAUGUAAUUCUAAUUUUUAAUUCUGAACAUAACUCCUGCACCUAGCAGACCCUCCAGGAUACCCAUUUAAGCUGUAAAAUGCACCCCCAGGUAACAUCUAUUGACUGCUGAAUGCAGCUCUUUAGAACUGGCUACUAAAUGCUAAGGAUUACCUGUCCUAAGAGACUUUUGUUUGUUUGUUUUGGUCUUGUUGAGUCCUUCUGUCUCCUAGUAAUUACGCAAGUGGUCCAGCUACUUCUGGAGAUGCUGCGAAGAAUGUAAAAAUCAGAACUUGUCAUUAUCAAGGAGGAGGAUGCUGAUCUUCAGUUUUUUUACGACAGCAGGCCAUGGAGCCAGCUCACUUAGAGCCUGGGGCAUGAACCUGCACAUUUUCCUUUAAUGACUGCAGCUGAAUGACAGCAACUUGAACAUGAUCGAUGGGCUGCCGCGGGCGUGUUUACCUGUGUCACUGAUGCAUGCUAGAGAAAACUUCCGUCCACACCACUGAUUCUUGGAAACAGGAAUGUUCAAUGAAAAGAAAGCCGUGGUACUGAGCUCACAGUUCUUGUUUCAUACCACAUUUUCUCUACACACAUUAACAAUGAGCAACGACAGAAAAAAAGUGAAUGCUUCAAGGCCUUCAAGGCCCACCAUCCAGAGUCACGGCUAGCCAUUGUGCCUGAAUGGAAAUGACUGGGAAUCAUUUCCAUGGCUCCUGAUUUUUCACACCCAGAUCUAAUUCGACCUUGGCCAUCCCUGUGCAUGAGUAAGACUGCCCGACCUCCACUGCUAAUCCUUUUAGCUCACAGCACAAGAAGAGAGGCGGGGCCACGUGAAGACUACCGCAACCAAGCUGUGGACUGCCUAAUGGACUGGAUUCUGCUAGAACUCUGGGGAAAACGAUAAAAUUCUAAGUAGCUAAACAUUUUAAAGGACGUCAUCAGCCUGCGAGAAUAGUUGAAGUAAACUAACACCGUGGGUUAAAUUGUUCCAAACACCCUACAACACUUUUGCGGUUGGCGAAGUCUUUGGAGAGAAGCCACAGUCGUGUGUUGGACAAGACGAAACAGAGACUGCCUGAAGCUUAUCAGGAGACCCUCCCCAGCAUCCAGACUGAGAGACACACACAUGCACUGACACCUGGUCUCUGUACUUUCCAAAACACAGAACGAGCAUCCGUGGAAUUUGAUUGCAAUUUUAUAUUCUAAUCUUAAUCUGAGUGCUUGGUACUGAACUAAUACUAUACAAAACAACGCAUGAUUAUAAUACAUCAGGAUCUUGAAAUCCUAGUGAAGAUUCUCAUUCAGUUUGUCAGGUGUUCUGCAGAAAACUAAACAAAUAAUAAAAAGACUGCUCAGAUGGCAGAUACACAUUUUUGAUUUGGUUGAACUUUUCCCAAUAAUCAAGGAACUUGUGUGCUGUGAUCCACAGGGAACAGGAGAGAGCUGACAUGUUCUUAUACCCUGCUGGACCCCUCCCCCAGAGCCAACUUUCUGGCCAUGGGCAUCUGACCCAUGCUACCACAGACACAGUCUGACCUGGGACUGUGGAUCUGGGGUCCAGUGGGGUUACCCAAUCUCUCUCUGAUGACUACGGCUCUACCACUGUAGGGUCUGAGAAUACUGAGUGCUUGUGCUUCCCAUCAUGUAGACCAGAGAAGCAGAAAGAUGGAGAGAAAGAUGAGGGGAGAGAGAAAGAAUGAGAAAGAGACAGGGAGAGAGCACAGCAAGUACCCAAAAAGGAACAGAGAGGUGACUAGUAUCAUUGGUUUCCUGAGAAAGUCACAUUCGUCCUCCUGGGUAACAGAGACCCAAGCUGUCUCCUCAUAAAACAAAACAAGAACUUGUUCUUUUCUUAAACAUGUACGAGCUGGAUUCUGUCAGAACCAAAUAUCCCUAAUCUCCUCAUAAAAUCACUAUAUAUACAUGAUGUAAAUAUAUAUGAAAUCACAUAUAUACACAUAUGUAAUUAAAAGCUUUAAAAUACAAAAAAGGAAAGGAAUCUGAACUUCUUAUCAUCUUGGA